rnacentral:misc_RNA from 1 species
AAGGAUCAUUACUAGAGCAAAGGGCAGACAGCGCCCCAUGAAGCUUGCUUUGUGGUGGGCUACCCUACUUCGGUAAGGUUUAGAGUCGUUGGACCUCUCGAAGAAGUCCGGUCCUGAACUCCACCCUUGAAUAAAUUACCUUUGUUGCUUUGGCAGGCCGCCUAGUGCCAGCGGCUUCGGCUGUUGAGUGCCUGCCAGAGGACCACAACUCUUGUUUUUAGUGAUGUCUGAGUACUAUAUAAUAGUUAAAACUUUCAACAACGGAUCUCUUGGUUCUG